rnacentral:rRNA from 1 species
GAUGAACGCUAGCGGCAGGCUUAAUACAUGCAAGUCGAGGGGCAGCACAGGUAGCAAUACUGGGUGGCGACCGGCAAACGGGUGCGGAACACGAACACAACUUACCUUCUGGCGGGGGAUAGCCUUUGGAAACGGAGAUUAAUACCCCAUAUUAUAUAUGAGCUGCAUGGUUUGUAUAUUAAAGAUUUAUUGCCGGAAGAUGGGUGUGCGUAUGAUUAGGUAGUUGGCGGGGUAACGGCCCACCAAGCCGACGACCAUUAACUGGUGUGAGAGCACGACCAGGCACACGGGGACUGAGACACCGGCGCGACUCGUACGGGAGGAAGCAGUAAGGAAGAUUGGGCAAUGGACGGAAGUCUGAACCAGCCAUGCCGCGUGGGAGAUGAAGGUCCUCUGGAUUGUAAGCUUCUUUUAUAGGGGGCGAAAAAAGGGAAUUCUUUCUCGUCUGACGGUACCCUAUGAAUAAGCACCGGCGAACUCCGUGCCAGCCGCCGCGGUAAAAC